rnacentral:rRNA from 1 species
UGGGGAAUAUUGCACAAUGGGCGCAAGCCUGAUGCAGCCAUGCCGCGUGUGUGAAGAAGGCCUUCGGGUUGUAAAGCACUUUCAGCGGGGAGGAAGGCGUUAAGGUUAAUAACCUUGGCGAUUGACGUUACCCGCAGAAGAAGCACCGACUAACUCCGUGCCAGCAGCCGCGGUAAUACGGAGGGUGCAAGCGUUAAUCGGAAUUACUGGGCGUAAAGCGCACGCAGGCGGUUUGUUAAGUCAGAUGUGAAAUCCCCGGGCUCAACCUGGGAACUGCAUCUGAUACUGGCAAGCUUGAGUCUCGUAGAGGGGGGUAGAAUUCCAGGUGUAGCGGUGAAAUGCGUAGAGAUCUGGAGGAAUACCGGUGGCGAAGGCGGCCCCCUGGACGAAGACUGACGCUCAGGUGCGAAAGCGUGGGGAGCAAACAGG